rnacentral:rRNA from 1 species
GUGGCACAGCUGGGUAGCUAUGUGCGGAAUGGAUAAGCGCUGAAGGCAUCUAAGCGCGAAGCCAACCUCAAGAUAAGAUUUCCCACUUCAUAGAAGGUAAGAUCCCAGAAAGACUAUCUGGUUGAUAGGCCCAGGGUGUAAGUGCAGCAAUGCAUUCAGCUGAUGGGUACUAAUAGAUCGAGGACUUGACCA